rnacentral:rRNA from 1 species
GUGGGGAAUAUUGGGCAAUGGGGGAAACCCUGACCCAGCAACGCCGCGUGAGGGAAGAAGGUUUUCGGAUUGUAAACCUCUGUCCUUGGUGACGAAGGAAGUGACGGUAACCAAGGAGGAAGCCCCGGCUAACUACGUGCCAGCAGCCGCGGUAAUACAUAGGGGGCAAGCGUUGUCCGGAAUGACUGGGCGUAAAGGGCGUGUAGGCGGCAGAUUAAGUCUGGAGUGAAAGUCCUGCUUUCAAGGUGGGAAUUGCUUUGGAGACUGGUUGGCUUGAGUGCGGAAGAGGUAAGUGGAAUUCCCAGUGUAGCGGUGAAAUGCGUAGAGAUUGGGAGGAACACCAGUGGCGAAGGCGACUUACUGGGCCGUAACUGACGCUGAGGCGCGAAAGCGUGGGGAGCGAACAGGAUUAGAAACCCGAGUAGUCC